rnacentral:rRNA from 1 species
AGAGUUUGAUCCUGGCUCAGGACGAACGCUGGCGGCGUGCUUAACACAUGCAAGUCUACGAGAAAGAGGUAGCAAUAUCUUGAUUAAAGUGGCGCACGGGUGAGUAACACGUAAGCAAUCUACCUUUAGAUUCGGAAUAAUCCCGCGAAAGCGGGCCUAAAACCGUAUGAUGCAGCGGCACCGCAUGGUGAUGUUGUUAAAUUUCGACUUGUCGGAAGUCUAAAGAUGAGCUUGCGUCUGAUUAGCUAGUUGGUGAGGUAAAGGCUCACCAAGGCGACGAUCAGUAGCUGGUCUGAGAGGAUGAUCAGCCACACUGGAACUGAGACACGGUCCAGACUCCUACGGGAGGCAGCAGUGGGGAAUUUUGGACAAUGGGGGCAACCCUGAUCCAGCCAUUCCGCGUGAGUGAAGAAGGCCUUCGGGUUGUAAAGCUCUUUCGGCAGGAACGAAACGGCUCUCUCUAACAUAGGGGGCUACUGACGGUACCUGAAGAAGAAGCACCGGCUAACUACGUGCCAGCAGCCGCGGUAAUACGUAGGGUGCGAGCGUUAAUCGGAAUUACUGGGCGUAAAGCGUGCGCAGGCGGUUUUGUAAGACAGGUGUGAAAUCCCCGGGCUUAACCUGGGAACUGCGCUUGUGACUGCAAGACUCGAGUGCGGCAGAGGGGGGUGGAAUUCCACGUGUAGCAGUGAAAUGCGUAGAGAUGUGGAGGAACACCGAUGGCGAAGGCAGCCCCCUGGGUCGACACUGACGCUCAUGCACGAAAGCGUGGGUAGCAAACAGGAUUAGAUACCCUGGUAGUCCACGCCCUAAACGAUG